UACGGGGGGGGCAAGCGUUGUUCGGAAUUACUGGGCGUAAAGGGCUCGUAGGUUGCCAACUAAGUCAGACGUGAAAUCCUCGGCUUAACCGGGGAACUGCGUCUGAUACUGGAUGGCUUGAGUUCGGGAGAGGGAUGCGGAAUUCCAGGUGUAGCGGUGAAAUGCGUAGAUAUCUGGAGGAACACCGGUGGCGAAGGCGGCAUCCUGGACCGACACUGACACUGAGGAGCGAAAGCCAGGGGAGCAAACGGG
rnacentral:rRNA from 1 species